GUCAACACUGUAUGACAAAUGCCCCCUGAAACUGCAAGAUAAAAUGUACUCAAUGAAUGUAAAUAAAGUCCAUAAACACUGUGAGGAUGCGUACACCGGAUAUUGCCAUUAAGUGAUAAGGUAUUUUCCGAAAACGUGAUUAUUUUUCGUCAACAAGAUGGCAUUAGACUUCACAGCGAAAAUAACAAGCACCAGUUUGAACACUGAUAUUACAACUUACAAUUACAGUGGCAUGCCAAUAGUCACUCCGAGAAAAUGUCUAAAGACUAGCCAUUGCCGAUAAAAGGCCCAGCCACAAGUUCAGCCGUGAAGUUUUAUAAUAAUGUAACAGGAUAUGAUGACGAUAAAAGUGGAAAAGGUCUCUCCUUAUAAGAAGAGCAAACAUGAAAAUAUGUUAUCCUUUUGCCUUCAUACUACAAAGAGACAUAAGCCUUGGUCAAUAGAUGACCUUUAUCGAUUAUGGUGUCAAUAGUUCAAAGGUCAAGGUCAUAGGGGCUUUGAACUUUAAAGUGGUUUCUUCUCAAUAACCUUAGACUCAUUUGACGUAGAACCCUCGAACUAGUUUCACUUGAAAUUUUCUUAAAAUGAUAUAGUCAGAGCUAUUUUUAUUGCUUUAAAUGCAUUGUUCUGAAAGGUAAUUAGCUCACCACUUGCUUCAUGCGAAACAAAGUGGGUGUCAUAUGCACUGAGCAAUUUGUUUCAGAAGUAGGAUGAAACAGUGCCAUGUGUUAUUCUUGCACACUUCAUUUGCAAGAUAUAUGUCAUUUCUAUGCAAACAGUUCGUUAUCAUUGUUAUGUGAUCAACUUCCCUGUUAACCAAAAUAGUAUAUUUGUUGUCCAGGUCAACUUCGAACUAUAACAAACGAUCGGGAACUGACUUGAAGAUCAUUCCGAUUUUUUUUCAUGUAUUCAAACUGUUGGACUGUAAAAUGUUUAUGAUCUUUGGUUUAAACAUAUUUAUUACCAACAAUAUACAUAACUAUAUUUAUAUACUAACAUUACAAGUACAGUUGGUGGAAAGGAUUAGAAAGAAAGUGUGUCUAGGUUUCAAGUUUGUUUAAUAAAUAUUUCAAUGUA
rnacentral:lncRNA from 1 species